ACUCAAGGAACCCAGCAGUUUCAUGAAGAUGUUCAAAAACUGUGGGAGGUAAGUUGGGUCAUUGUAGGACUCCAUAAGCAAAAAAAGAUCAGCUGAAGUUGGAGUCUAUCAACAUUCCCAUUCUUGGACCAAUCCUCCAGGCAUGGUGGGAACUGCUGCGGAAUAACAUCCUUUCAUUCCGUCCCAGCUAAGUGGAACCUGAACAGGUGCACUACACACUACAAGAGUCCACUAAAUACGGAUUUAUACACUGCUUAAUCAUCAAAAGCUCUAGAAGUAGCUGUUUCAAGAGACACAAACGUGCUGCCACUUUUCUCUCUCUUCACACUGUUAUCUAUAGAGUGCAAUGAAGCCCCAUCAGAGACAGGAGAGACACAACUGUUAGAACAACUGCAGAGCAGCUUUAGUUACCCCCUCCCAAUCUGGCAUCAUCUGCAAACUUUAUGAGCAUCCCCUCAAUUCCUUCAUCCAGGCCCUUCAUAAAGACGUUGAACAACAACGGGCCCAGGACAGAACCCUGCGGCUCUUCACUUGUCACUUUUUCUCAGGAGGGCGAGAAACCAUCAAUGAGCACUUUUUGGGUUCAGUCAGUCAACUAGCUACAAAUCCACCUAACAGUUACCUCAUCCAACCCAGAGGCAACAUGCCUCUUAUAUCAGUUGCUGGGGAUCUCAGGUGGAGAGGGUGCUGUUGUGCUCAUGUCUUGCUUGUGAGCUUCUCAAUGACAUCUGGUUGGCCAUGGUGGAAAUGAAAUGCUGGACUAAAUGGGCCAUUGGUUAAAUCCAGCAGGGUUCUUUUUAUGUUCUCAUGAGCAAGCAGGCUACUGCAGCCAAUACUUUUUUUAAAAAAGAAAGAAAGAAAGAUAGUUUAAGGUUUGAGCAGCAGAGAAAAUAAAGGAAAGGUCAGGAUGGUGCUGGAUGGUAGUGCCAGAGUUGCAGAAGUGGAAGAGCAGCUGAACGCCUAGUAUCCCUCAGGGAAACAGCAGUGAUUGAAAAAGGCAACAGCAGGCAGCUCAAUACGGGUGGGUUUGUUUUCAUUAGCAACAAUCAUGAUAA